rnacentral:rRNA from 1 species
ACUGCUCAGUAACACGUGGACAACCUGCCCUUAGGUUGGGUAUAAACCCGGGAAACUGGGUAUAAUACCCGAUAGGUCUCGAUUGCUGGAAUGCAUCGAGAUUUAAAGCUCCGGCGCCUAAGGAUGGGUCUGCGGCCUAUCAGGUAGUAGUGGGUGUAGCGUACCUACUAGCCUACGACGGGUACGGGUUGUGAGAGCAAGAGCCCGGAGAUGGAUUCUGAGACACGAAUCCAGGCCCUACGGGGUGCAGCAGGCGCGAAAACUUUACAAUGCUGGCAACAGCGAUAAGGGAACCUCGAGUGCCAGGUUACAAAUCUGGCUGUCGAGAUGCCUAAAAAGCAUUUCAUAGCAAGGGCCGGGCAAGACCGGUGCCAGCCGCCGCGGUAACACCGGCGGCUCGAGUGGUAACCGUUAUUAUUGGGUCUAAAGGGUCUGUAGCCGGCCGGAUAAGUCUCUUGAGAAAUCUGGCAGCUUAACUGUCAGGCUUUCAGGAGAUACUGUCUGGCUCGAGGCCGGGAGAGGUGAGAGGUACUUCAGGGGUAGGGGUGAAAUCUUUUAAUCCUUGAAGGACCACCGGUGGCGAAGGCGUCUCACCAGAACGGACCUGACGGCAAGGGACGAAAGCUAGGGGCACGAACCGGAUUAGAUACCCGGGUAGUCCUAGCCGUAAACGAUACUCGCUAGGUGUCGGCCACGGUGCGACCGUUGUCGGUGCCGUAGGGAAGCCGUGAAGCGAGCCACCUGGGAAGUACGGCCGCAAGGCUGAAACUUAAAGGAAUUGGCGGGGGAGCAC